CGGAUUGUAGUCUGCAACCCGACUACAUGAAGCCGGAAUCGCUAGUAAUCGCAGAUCAGCAUGCUGCGGUGAAUACGUUCCCGGGUCUUGUACACACCGCCCGUCACACCAUGGGAGUCGGAAAUGCCCGAAGUCGGUGACCCAACCGGAAGGAGGGAGCCGCCGAAGGCAGGUCUGAUAACUGGGGUGAAGUCGUAACAAGGUAGC
rnacentral:rRNA from 1 species